rnacentral:rRNA from 1 species
GACGGAGGAUGCAAGUGUUAUCCGGAAUCACUGGGCGUAAAGCGUCUGUAGGUGGUUUAAAAAGUCUACUGUUAAAAAUUGAAGCUUAACUUCAAAGAUGCCGUAGAAACUUUUAAACUCGAGGAUGGUAGGGGUAGAGGGAAUUUCCAGUGGAGCGGUGAAAUGCGUAGAUCUUGGAAAGACCACCAAUGGCGAAGGCACUCUACUGGGCCAUUACUGACACUAAGAGACGAAAGCUAGGGGAGCAAAUGGGAUUAGAAACCCGGUA